AACGAACGCUGGCGGCAUGCCUAACACAUGCAAGUCGAACGAUGCCUUCGGGCAUAGUGGCGCACGGGUGCGUAACGCGUGGGAAUCUGCCCUUGGCUUCGGAAUAACAGUUAGAAAUGACUGCUAACACCGGAUGAUGUCCCCCUGAGAGAUCUUGGGGACCAAAGAUUUAUCGGCCAGGGAUGAGCCCGCGUAGGAUUAGGUAGUUGGUGGGGUAAAGGCCUACCAAGCCGACGAUCCUUAGCUGGUCUGAGAGGAUGAUCAGCCACACUGGGACUGAGACACGGCCCAGACUCCUACGGGAGGAAGCAGUGGGGAAUAUUGGACAAUGGGGGGAACCCUGAUCCAGCAAUGCCGCGUGAGUGAUGAAGGCCUUAGGGUUGUAAAGCUCUUUUACCAGGGAUGAUAAUGACAGUACCUGGAGAAUAAGCUCCGGCUAACUCCGUG
rnacentral:rRNA from 1 species